ensembl:lncRNA
AAAUAAUCUGAUAUGUACACAAUUGUUGUACAAAUGACUUGUGUCAUGCACAAAGUAGAUGUCCUAACUGACUUGCCAAAACUAUUGUUUGUUAACAAGCCAAUUUUGGAGUGGUUGAAAAACCUAAGUGUAUGUAAACUUCCGACUUCAACUGUAUAAUAAUAAACCAAUAUUCAGAAUUCCUGAAAUCUCAGCGUCAUCAGUGGACAGGAUUAUUAGCUUCUUAAGGAGCUCUAGAGCAAAAUAUGUAGUUGGUCUAGACACUGUAUUCCUGAAAUAUGCUCUGAUUGUUCCUUUUGUACAUCUAGUUAAUCUGUCCAUCAAAUACUGCUGCGGUGAUACACGUUUUAAAAUUUGGUGACCCAAAACUGGUGGAAAAUUACCGACCUAUAAUUCUUCCAGUGCUAUCAAAGUAGCUGACAGAUGGAUGGCUGAUUAUCUGACUGAUCACCUCAUUCAGGGCAAUGACAUAAAUUAAAUUAAAUUUGGAUUCAGUAUUGACCAUUCUACCGAAACAGACAAUUACUAUUUUCUGGAGUGCAUUAAAUCUAAAAUGGAUAUAGGUGGUGAAGUCAGGUAUUUUGGGAUCUUAAAAACGACUUUGAUAAUGUGAAUCAUUGAGUCCUCCUAUCGAAACUAUCCUCCCAUAAUGUCCACUGAAGUUAUUAGUUGGAUGUAUUCCUAUCUGACAACAGAAGUCAAAGGGUUGGUUUGGGGGACACUCAGUCAGACUCUCUUUAAUACAACAUUGGGGUCCAACAAGGGUCAAUAUCAGGCCCCCUUCUGUUUACCAUAUAUAUAAAUCAUCUCCCACUUGCUUGCCCACAAGUUAACAUGCAGAUGUAUGCAGAUGGUACAGUCAAAAAAAUAAACAACUAGAUGUUAACAAGUUAACUGAAGCAAUGGUGAUGUUUCUCAAUUGAUGACUAAUUAUUGCCUGCAUUUUGACAAGACUUUGUAUGUACUUCUCUAAUAAAUCCAUUGAUUCUUUCCAAUCAGCUGUUCUUGUUAAAACCUGGUUGGGCUAGGUGUCCCGCAACUUCCGGUGGAACUGUAGGGCGUGCAAUUCAAAUAAAUAUUCAAAAAAAUUAUGGAUAUUAAACAUUUAGGUACAUACAAGUGUCUUAUAUCAGUUGAAAGCCUUAUUCAGGAUCGGUGUCCCUUCCGCGGUACGGUUGAGCUAGCGUAGGCUAAUGCGAGUAGCAUGAGGUUGUAUGUAACAAGAACAUUUCCCAGGACAUAGACAUAGGCACAUUUGGGCAGUCUUGAAACAACAUUUAACAGAAAUGCAAUGGUUCAUUGGAUCAAACUUGGCACAUACACUGCUGCCAUCUAUUGCCCGAAAUCUAAACUGCACCUGGGCUGGAAUAAUACAUUAUGGCCUUUCUCUUGGAUUUCAAAGAUGGCACAAAAAAUAUACAAAAGAACGGCUGUUUUUCCUUUACCGGAUCUAUUGUGUUAUAUUAUCCUACAUUCCUUUCACAUUUCCACAAACUUCAACGUGUUUCCUUUCAAAUGGUACCGAGAAUAUGCAGUCUGUGUCCCUGCACUUGAACUCAUUUCUUAUUGGCUUUGGAAGUUACAAGCCUGAAACCUGGAACAGACUGCUGACACCCUGUGGAAGCCAUAGGAAUUGCAUCCUGGGAGCUAGAAUUCAGCAUUAAAAAAAAUAACUCCGGUUGGUUUUUCUUUGGAUUUUCUCCUACCAUAUAUAUUGUGUUAUAGUCUCCUACAUUGUUUAAAAAUGUAUACAAACUUCAAAGUGUUUUCUUUCCAAUGGUACCAAUUAUAUGCAUAUUCUGGCUUCAGGGCCUGAGCAACAGACAGUUUACUUUGGGCACGUCAGUCAGGCGGAAAUUGAGAGAAAAAGGGGCCUAGCCUUAAGAAGUUUUAAUGGGGAGAAUAUUAAAGUUGUGUCUAAUUUCAGGUAUCUGGGCAUCAUUUUGGACUCCAACUUGACGUUCAAGAAACAUUUGAAGAAGUUGCAGUCGUCUCACCGCUGCAAAUUCCGUAUGGACUCAGAAGAGGCGACGGUCAAGAGCCAUGUGUCCUCAAAACACAACCCAAACAAGCCACACUGCUUCUUGACACAAUGCCCGCUUAAGCCAGCCAUACCUCUGUGUUAGAGGAAACACCAUGUACCUGGUGACCGUGUCAGCGUACAUUGCGGAGGAGUCACUAGGGCGUGGAGUCACUAGGGCGUGAUGGGGCAAGGACAUGCCUUGAGAUGGAUGAAAUCAUACCUUUAAGGCAGAACUCAGUGUGUCAGAGUGAGCAAUGAGCUGUCGCCCACUCUUAGCUAUGAUGUGGGAGUGCCCCAUGGGUCAAUACUGGGGCCCUUCCUGUUCAGCCUGUACAUUAAUGAUGUGCCUUCUGUCUGUACUGGGUCUGAAGUUCAAAUGUAUGCAGAUGAUAGAGUGAUAUAUGUGCAUGCAAAGAGCAAGCUGCACAAGAACUCACUAUUGUAAUGGUCCAGGGUACAAAGUGGCUCAGUCACUCAUAUUUGCAUCUCAAUGUGAAAAACCGGCAUGUUCUUCACAAAGAGGACAACUGAUGCUACUGAUCCAGAUGUCUAUGUGUCAGGGGAGAAGUUCCAGGUGGUAUCUGAUUUUAAGUACAUUGGCAUCAUACCUGAUUCCAACCUCUCUUUAAAAAGCAGAUGAAAAAGGUAAUUAAAAUAACCAAAUUCAACCUAGCUCAUUUCCGUUUUAUACAGAAUUGUUUGACUACAGAGGUAGCAAAACUGUACUUCAUAUCUAUGAUACUCCCCCACUUAACAUACUGCUUAACUAGUUGGGCCCAAGCUUUCUGUACAACAUUAAAACACAUUCAGUCUGUCUACAAACAGGCUCUCAAAGUGCUUGAUAGGAAGCCCAAUAUCCAUUAGAAAGCAUGAGCUCCUGAGUUGGAAAACUCUUGUGCAAU